rnacentral:lncRNA from 1 species
CAAACUGUUACCGCCUCAUAUUAAAGAAAAAGAAGAAGAAGAAAAGGGGCUACGCAACAACACACCGGAAGUAAAACAUUUCCAGUUCUGUAGCCUAAAUAAAGCCCCUUACUGUAUAGCAAAACGAAAGGCUUUAUUCAUAAUUCAGCCCAUCAGAAAUGUUUUUUUAGAGCUGAUUUUACAGAGGCUUUGGAUGUUAGACUAAAGAUUAAAGUGACUAGAUUACGUAUCUUUUGUACGUUUGCUACCUAGCGUUAGCGUAUCUUCUGCUGCCCAGUAGGAUAAACCGAACAUAAACAAUUAAAAGGAGAAUCACCAAAAUGGAGAAACUAGAAACACCGUACGAGGAAGAGACCGGGUUUAUCGAGUGCACGGUCUGUGAGAAAUCCUUAAGGGGCGAAACCUUGUACAAGAUACACCUGACUACAGCAGCGCAUGUCAAGAAAGAGGAUGCCCUUGUUGCUGUCGGCCGUGCAAUCAGAAAACACACCGUGCCUGAAUUUAAGGACAUUGUACAUUAUCUGGAUUAUCUAAAGCUCGAUGAGCCCAUCAUUGGUUUGAGCUUUUUGGAUGAAAUACCAUCUAAUGAUCUUCAGGGAGGCCCCAGGUACUUGUGUAGGCUCUGUCAUCACACUGCAAACCUGCCUGACAUGGUACACCAUGUGAUUGGACGCAAACACCGGCAGAAAUAUGUGGAACUCAAGCGGCAAGAUCUGGUUACGUGGGAUAAGGAAUCAAUAAUAACUCAAGGAGGAAAGAUCAUUCGAGCCAGAGCGGAAAUUAUAGAGAGGCAAGAUGGACGAGGAAGUCCAGUGGCUCUGGUGAGACGAGGCGUUGAGGGCAGGUUAAACAUCUGUAAAGUACCUCCAAGAGAGAAGCAAAAUAGAAGCAGAGCCCAGAGGUCAAAUGAACACAACGUUCCACCACUCUUACCAGAACUCAAAGGCUACAAGGAGUACUCCAGUCGAAAGUUUGCCACAGGUUACCAAAAUACCCUGCAGUUCCACCCAGAUGAACCUAACCCGAAGCGAGCCCGAAGAAUGCAGCAAAGUGAUGACCCACUCGAGCGAGACUACAUGGAGGAGAAGCUACGCAGGAAAAGUGAUAUGUACCGAGAAGAGUACAUUGACCCAGAUAGUCGUAGGGUGUACAAAAAGCAAUAUGCUGAAGAUCCUUAUAACUUUUCUCCUUCAAGCGUUUCUCUUGAACCAGAUAGUGUCCCCCGAUAUAAUUCCAGGGAGGACAGGGCCCAUGACCAAAUUCCAGAUGUAAACUAUUACCCAGACAUGGGUCCUCCACAAAGGAGACCCUUCCCAGAAAAUGAUCCAUUGAAAGAGUUUUACACAGAGGAAGUUCGACGUAGGCGAGGACAGUCUGCUGAACAUCAGCCCUCUCACCGGGCCAGUCUAGGUGAACGCCAGUGGUCUCUGGAGAGGGAACCUGGUAGACACAGUAUGAUCAGAGCAGGCAGACAGGGAUCAAGUGAGCCAGAGGUCAAGAGGGGCAGCUUCAGAGAUUAUCUGCCAAAAGAAACAGUGUCCUAUUCUGGGCCCUCUACCUCUCAGCUACAGGUGGACGUCACCAGAACAAUGUCCAACAUCCCUGAACCAUUCAGGCGCUUCCUGAAAGGGGACACUAAUGAUGAGGGCAGCAAAAGAAAGAGAACAAGUCGCUUCUCUGAUGCUACUGUAGAGGAGGUGGAAAUGACAAAAGAGAUGUUUGGUGAUGACUAUGGACCUCCAAAGUUUGGUGGUUAUAGUAGAGGAGCUGACGCACCAUUUGGAUCCAACAUCCUGGGAACACAACUUGACCACCCCACAGAAUCACACAUGAACCCACGUGGUGAAAGUUAUCAGAAAGGGGCUUUAGGGACAGAUGGUGUCUUUGAUAUGUUGAAAAACAUUGAAAUUGAAACUACCGAAGAUGCCGACUUCCUGAACGAGAAACUUUGCAGUCUUCUGCGUGAGUUCAAGUCCAGAAAAUUGGAGAAAAAUAUGCGUAAUAGCCAAGGUCGAGCAGUCAACAACAGUUUACAGGCAGACUUACACUAUGAGACAGCUCACAGAGAAGAUUCAGACAUUAGAUGGCCCGAUCUCUGCUUUGAAGAUGAUCAUAGAGGAAUCGGCAGGAGGGAGCAUGACAACAGGUUCAUAGAUUACCAUCACCUUGGGAAUGGAGAACCCAGAUAUUCGAACAGAAGUCAUCAUGAAGAUGACUCCCCUUAUCCUGAAAGGUUUGAAGAACCCAUGUAUUCUUCUGACUACCAACCUGCCACACAGAGUUUUGGCACCCACUCUGCUGCAACUCCACUACACAUGGAAGUAAAACCUAGACUGGACAGGGAAUCUCGGUUCUCAAAUAAAAUGGACAAAAUCACCUCCACCCUUCUUGAAUUUGUAGCUAGGAAAUAA